GCGGGCAUAGCAUAGUGGUAAUGCUGUAGCCUUCCAAGCUACCGAGGAGGGUUCGAUUCCCUCUGUCCGCUCCA
rnacentral:tRNA from 5 species